UACGAAGGGGGCUAGCGUUGCUCGGAAUGACUGGGCGUAAAGGGCGCGUAGGCGGUUUGGACAGUCAGAUGUGAAAUUCCUGGGCUCAACCUGGGGGCUGCAUUUGAUACGUUCGGACUAGAGUGGGGAAGAGGGUCGUGGAAUUCCCAGUGUAGAGGUGAAAUUCGUAGAUAUUGGGAAGAACACCGGUGGCGAAGGCGGCGACCUGGUCCUUGACUGACGCUGAGGCGCGAAAGGCGUGGGGAGCAAACAGG
rnacentral:rRNA from 1 species